rnacentral:rRNA from 1 species
AUGAACGCUAGCGGGAGGCCUAACACCUGCAAGCCGAGCGGUAUUUGUUCUUCGGAACAGAGAGAGCGGCGCACGGGUGCGGAACACGUGUGCAACCUGCCUUUAUCUGGGGGAUAGCCUUUCGAAAGGAAGAUUAAUACCCCAUAAUAUAUUGAGUGGCAUCAUUUGAUAUUGAAAACUCCGGUGGAUAGAGAUGGGCACGCGCAAGAUUAGAUAGUUGGUGAGGUAACGGCUCACCAAGUCAAUGAUCUUUAGGGGGCCUGAGAGGGUGAUCCCCCACACUGGUACUGAGACACGGACCAGACUCCUACGGGAGGCAGCAGUGAGGAAUAUUGGACAAUGGGUUAGCGCCUGAUCCAGCCAUCCCGCGUGAAGGACGACGGCCCUAUGGGUUGUAAACUUCUUUUGUAUAGGGAUAAACCUACUCUCGUGAGAGUAGCUGAAGGUACUAUACGAAUAAGCACCGGCUAACUCCGUG